rnacentral:lncRNA from 1 species
UGAUUUAAAAAAAGGUUUACAUCAAUUUUUCAGAUUCAGAAGAAAAACAAAUGGAGAACUACACAGGUAGGAUAAUUCGAAAACAAAACCAUUGGAUCUAAAACUAUUGCCUAGUUGUUCCGUGAAUGUUCGAACUAAAACAAUAAAACCCAAAUGAAAUAUUCAAAAAUUGAUUCCAAAGUCCUUACCUUGAGGAGGAAGACGAAUGCCAAAAACUAGAGAAGCAAAUUGGGGAAGGAAGGAUAUAGAAAGAGAUAGUGACUGCCCCGACCCUCUCUCUCUGUCCCUGUAAUUGUGCACCCAAACCAUAUGGAAAAUACAACCGUCAAAAAAGGAAAUGAAUGGCACAUUCAACAGUGAGAUAAGGAGUUGUAACCUAUAUUCAUAUUACACAUAAGCAACAAUAUAGGAAAAGAUGUAGAAGAUUUUAUAAAAGUGUAGAGAAAUGAUAACCUAUGCAUGUAUACCACAUUUUGUUGAAAUGGUUGAAGAUCCAUUUGAAUCAAAAUAGAAAGGUAUAUGCAAUGUUUAACACCCAAACCACCCUUAUCACUUUUAUACCCUGUUGUGGUGUCAGAAGCUUCUCAUUUUCUUAGUAUGAAGCUUAUUUUGUGGGAAAAAAUUAUAAUAAUAAUAACAGUAGUCACUCAAAAAGUAAAGGAGAUUACCAAGCAAAUGACUUUUAGGUUCUGAAUGGUUUACUUAUUCCCAUCCAGUUGGUGCGAAGACUUUGUUUGUUUCAUGUUUGGUGAUGCACAAACUCUCACAAAUGGUGUUCCUCACAACCAACUCUGCUACUAACAAACUGCAAUAACAGAAAGUACAUCAUAUGAAAGUAGUUAAAUAAAUUUGUUUAAUCGUAGGUCAUAAAGCUCGAAACUUAAUGCAAAAAAACAUUCAGAACCUCAAAUAGAGAACAAAACAUCUACAUUGACAAUAACAACCCCAAACAAUGAACGAAACAUUGAAAUGAAAUCAAAUCAUGUGAUACAUUUUGAGGUCAAUGAGAAUGAAAUGAGAUUAUGUACCCUACAAUGGACUGAAAACUGCUCAAUGAGAAUAAAACAAAGCAAAAAAUAUAAGCAAAAACUUCAUGACAAAAACUGGGUUCCAAAGCACAGCUCAAAUUGUAAUG